GGGGGGGAGGGAGGGGUGACCUUUCAGUAGGCAGUAUACACUAGCUAAGAUUUAUAUAAAGAUUAAAUUCAAACUAAAAUACUAUAUACAACUAUAUACAAGAGUUACAUACAUGUUUCAUUUUAGUUUUAAAGCCAGAGACAGAGAUAUUUCUUCUAGAUUUUAAGUCAACGAGAAGGUUAUUCCAAGUCUCAGCUCCUUUGUAGGCAAAAGCCUUCUUCAUAUAAUUUGUAUUAGGCUAAGGUAGUGAGAAAUUAAAUUCGCUAUGUCUCGUAUUGUAGUCAUGCUUUCAUUCGUGUUGGUAAAAACUUCUGUUGAAUAAUUUGGUAGCAACUUAUGUUUAACUUUGUACAUAUUGUACUAAUUGAUGCCUCCUUCCAGUUUGUAGAUUAGGAAGACCGACCUUGUUCAAAAUGUCUGCU